UACGGAGGGGGCUAGCGUUAUUCGGAAUUAUUGGGCGUAAAGGGCGCGUAGGCGGCCCGGUAAGUCAAAGGUGAAAUCCCUCGGCUCAACUGAGGAACUGCCUUUGAAACUGUCGGGCUUGAGGCCGGGAGGGGGUAGCGGAAUUCCCAGUGUAGCGGUGAAAUGCGUAGAUAUUGGGAGGAACACCGGUGGCGAAGGCGGCUACCUGGACCGGUUCUGACGCUGAUGCGCGAAAGCGUGGGUAGCGAACAGG
rnacentral:rRNA from 1 species